ensembl:snoRNA
UUGCAAGCCUUCAGUGUGCUUGAGUCUGCUGUGACUCCUGCAUUCCUACAGUGCUUGCCAGAACAGUUUUGAAACGGUUUUGCCCUGUUCCAUCCAGAGCAAGGUUAUAGAAAUUUCAGACAAUU